UGUCGUUAUAUCAUAGCUUUGUGACGGGAUCUAUGUCUGGUCGGUCGUGAAGUUAUCAUCGCCUCUUUCCUUUAGUGAUCUGCUUCUCACUCUCACUACUCUCUCUUUGGAUCGUGGGGGUUUAAGCUGAUUCUGUGCCCUAAAAUUUGGCGCCUUUCCACUUCGAUUGGGUUUCUUUGCUCUCUGGGGUUUCAACAAUGGGGAAGGCUUCUUCUCCGGUACCGAGAGGAGAAUGAAUUAAAAACGAUUUUUGAUUCCAAAGGAAUGCGCUUUUCGUUGAGUUUGAUUCAAGAGAAUGGUUCUUCUACAUGCCACGCAUUGCAAAGUAUUAAUAAAGGUUGUUGUUGAAUAUGACCUAUGGAGACGGGGAGGGUGGAAGUCAACGGAGAGGUUCACAACGCGGAAGCAAUGACUUUGCCUAUGCGCUCGCUAGAAUGGCCGUGGCGCAGAUAUGCGAGGGGGUCGAGAUCAGCACUCUCCAGGACUCGCAUUCACGGGAAGGUGCGAGGUUCAGUUCUUUUCAGGAGUCUGCGCUCGAGAGACUGACCGAUGUGGUGAUACAGUAUAUUCAAAGCGUUGGGAAGACGACGCAGUUUUAUGCUAAUAUGGCUGGGAGAGGGGAAGGUAAUGCUUUGGAUGUUGUUCAGGCGCUGGAGGAUUUGGGAGCUGGAUUGGGUUUCAACGGUGCUCAUGAUGUUGAGCGUUGUCUUGGUGACUCCGGUGUGGUUAAGGAUAUUGUUCGGUAUACAGGUGAAGCUGAGGAGGUGCCCUUUGUUUAUUCGCUUCCUCGUUUUCCUUUUAAGAAAGGGAAGAGACGAGCUCCUAGCUUCUCUGGGAUUGGAGGAGAGAUGGCGGAUGAGCAUAUUCCGGUUUGGCUUCCUGCUUUUCCGGAAACCAAGUCUAAGGAGGUUGAGGAGACUAAUACUGAGAAAGUAGGAGAGGUGAAGAGCAAAGAAAAUGGACUGUCUUUGCCGAGUAUGCAACAGUCUUUGGAUGUUGAUAGAUUAAAAGUUCAGAAAUCCAUGGAACAAGAGGAUGUUCAGGAACCAGGAGAGGAACCAGAGGGUAAUCCAUUCCUUGCUGCACCAGUUUGGGUUAGAGAGAAGGACGUGCCACGUGUGUUUUGCCCGUCAGAGCCUAAAAAUGAAGAAGAUAGCAUUGGCCACGUUCCUGAGAAACAAAAGAACAUUCCACCCCUUGAGGCACAUGCUCCACCUGGCAUGAUCAACGACGAGAGCAGAUUAGGUGGAACGGAGGAUGGACAGAAAACACAACGAGCUUUGCUCCGUUUCAAGAUUGGAACUCGAAAGGCCUCUAUGUGUUGGACGAUAAAGCAGAGCUUAGAAGAUAAGGAGACAAGAGGGAGAAGAAGGUGGAACGCGAAGAGAAACUCGAAACCAUUGACACAGAUGUAAAAUAGGCAAUAUUAGCAAUGGAAAAGCUGCCUGGGUUGCCCACUGAGCUUAUUUCCCGAAGAAGCUGCAACCUCGCUUGUCACGACUUCACUUAUCAAGUCCUUGAAAAUUAGCCUCUCUAUGUCUAACACUAACCCCGGUGUCUCUCCUUCAAUCUCCUUCCAGUUCAUGCCUUGGCCUUGCAGGUCCUCCCAAAUGAGGUCUUCAUCAUCCUCAUCCAAGAUACAGUUUGAGUUGUCUUGUAAUCGAUCAAUCUCUGAACACAGAGUUUCCAGAAGUUCUUUCCCUCUUGAGCUUUUGUCUGCUGUCACUAGCGAGCUGAUGGAUGAUGUUAUGUAUGGCUGCUUGGUACACCCUUGUGCUGCGAAUUUGCGAGCUAAGAUCUCGUUGACGGUGUCGAACACGAGCUUCCUCCUGCUUCUCCCUAUCAGGACAAAGAAAAGGCUCGGAUUGAUAGGUAGGUGUGCUUGGUGCAGCUGAAUGCUUAGCAUGCUGUAGUCGAUGUCCUUAAGAAGCCCUGAUGCUGACAGUAUCUCUGAGAUGUACUUGCGGUCGCCAUUUCUUAGGUCGGCACCUUCUUCCAUGAAACUCUCAGUAAGUUCAGCAUCAGGCUGAUUUAGACUCGUGUUACUCUCAGGCCACACAAUCGAUCUACAUAAGUUGUUGUGCUUAUUCAUCCACAGGGACUCUUCAGAACGUAUAUGAUCGUCGUCUGUGGCAAGAGAAAUAGUAAAGGGGAUGGUGACUCAUCAUCGUCGAAGGCUACAUCAAGAAUAGAAACCGGGCUGGGCUGCUCCACCGUAAUCUUCAGAGGCUUUGGCAGAGAUCUCAUUCCCAGUUCUGGACUCUGCAUUGGUGAAACAUGUAUUAGCAAAUAAACUAAGAUGUGAAUUUGCAUUUAGGAGAAAAGUUUAUACCCUUUGUUUUGGUGUGUGCUGCUCCGUUAAGUCACAUUUAUAUCUGCUUGUAACCUCAAUGUCAAAGUUAGAAGCCGAGCUUACGUUGCUGUCAGAUCUUAGACUCCUCAAGUCACUGCUUUCAUCACUUGAACGGUCUUCAGACUGCUGCAAGCCGCGAGAUUUCAUCCCUGGCUUUCUUCUUGGGGAGGGGGAUUCCGUCUGUUGCCUGCUAAGUUGUUGUCUUUGGUUCUUGUUCGGUUCUGGUUUUGGAGACGUUGGUCUAGACUGCUUCUCGAAACCGAGCUUCUUUGCUUGUGUUCUUGGGCUGACACUGCUCUUCCCUGGCUUGGCCAUCUCGAUCUUUGACUGCAACGGUCUGGUGCUAGUGUUUUUCGUUGCAGGCCUUGGGGUCACAUCCAUGGCGCUCUGCUUCCUCGUAGUGGCUUUCUGGUUUGAAACCUUGACAUUUGGUAAAGCAACACUCCGCGGCGAGGAAGAGGUGGAGCUAGAGUUGCCUGUCUCUCUGAAAACUGGAGCAGAUGCUGCUUUCAUAACGACGAUAGAGGAAGAUCUGAUACUCUUGGACGAUGGACUUGGCUGCAUAAAGUUGGUUGAGCUCAAGGAACUGUUGUCAUCAUCUUUGCUCAUCAACUGCUGCGUCUUCUCCAUUGCUUCGAGUAUCUGCUGUAGAGCUCUGAGAUCUUUCUCAGACUUUUUGAACUCAAGCUGCGAAAGCCUCUUCUGUAUCUCACCGUAAACCGUCAGCGUUGCAGCAGCGUCCGCUGCUUUGACUUGGUUCCUGGCACCACCAUCCACUUGCGUCCAUGGAGCUGUCUUCACAGGAAACUUGGCGGCAGGCAUCAUCUUCUUGAAUGAGUCAGAGCCUCUUGAUCUUUGUAGAUCUCCUUCCACUCUAGGAGAUGGCCUCGGAGAGUCGCAGAAGUGGUUCUCUCUGCUCUGAUCAGUAACAGGCUCGUCUGAAACGACAUCAAGACCCAUUAACUUGGCAAUAACACUCGACGUUGUUCUUCUGUGACCCGUUACAAGCUCUUGCGGCUCUGGUGAGCAACUGGACUUAGCGCUCCUAAAGGAAUUAGAUCUGCUGUCUAAUGACAACCUCGGUGUCUCUUUGAACUUGGCUCCUGUCUUUCUUGUCUCCCUCUCGUCGUAAGAGAACCGAGGACUGUCUUUCAGCUUCACAACUCUCCGUCCUUCACUCCAUUCAUUAGAACUCCGAGAUGGUGAUAGUUCUUUGAGAAGGGACACGUUAGCUCUGGCUGAUUUAGGCUGCUGAGACAAGGCUUCUUCUUCAACUCUGGUUCUGGUCUCUUUAUGAAUGGAGCUUCUCACAAGCUCCCUUAAAUCACUCGACAUCACUAAACCGCCCCACCUUGGCGAACCGUAGGUCGGUUCUCUUGCCGGAGUCUCACCAUUACUCAUGGGUUGUUCAAACUGAGAAGUCGUGGUGCUGAUAUCUGCAGACGAGAAGCUAGAGGAGCAUGGUGAAGAAGAAAAGGACAGCCUCGAGGAGGAUUCAGAGGAGACAACCUUCUGUUUCUCCUUUGCAGCCUUCUUCUUCUUACUCUUCUCCUGCAAUUCCAGUAAAAUUCACUUUUUAGAUCAAUUUUCUUCUAUGAAAAAUUAUCAUUUCUCUGCUAGUUUACAGAUUCUUACCGUUUCCUUCUUGUCCGUUGAACCGUUGGUAACACCGACAUUGUCACUUGUUUUGCCUGCAAAAAAAAAAAAACUCCCCAGUCAAAUCUAGCUUUUAACUAAUACCUAGUAGUGUUAGGUAUACACACAUCUAGAUAAGUAUAGGUAAUUUAGAGUCUAUGAACAUCUAUAACAAGUCAUGUUAUAGAGCUUUGGUUGUGGUCCUGAAUCUUGGAUUUAAGAUCUUAGUCAGAAACUAGAAUACAAAAACGUCUCAUGUUGAAGAAGUUUCCUCUAAAACUUUUUUCUUCAGGUUUUAAUGGAGACAGGACACUGCAAGUGAAAACUUAAAGAAAGAGAAGGGAGAGAAAUGUUACCUGAAGGCAAAGACUUGAGCUCAUCUCCGGCGACAGAAACACGUCUCGCUGGAUAAUGUUGCCGGUAAAACACCUGAAAGAUCCCAUUCAUACAUCCAAACUGUUUAUUCAGAUUUGGAUUCUCAUCUGACAAGUUGUACAAAAGCUUUGCCGACAUCUUCUUCUUUAGCUCUGGUCUCAGAAGGUUUUGACUCUAAAAAGGACAAUGGAACUGUGGGAUUAUCUCAUAUCAGUUCUUGAAAACCUUCAAGCUUAUGGUUUCUCCUCUGGUUUGUGUCUCAGAGGAAGAGGAAAAAGAGACAAGAGGACAAACAAGAACCCGAUACUGAGAUAAAAGGUAAAGCUACUUGUGAAGUUACGACCAGACAGGAAAUUAGUUUGCUCUGUGUUUGUUCUCUUGGAGGGUUCCUUGAAGAAGAAAGAAGAGAAGGGAAAGAAAGAGGUUUUUCUGUUUGUGUUGUUUGAGAGAAACGGAUCUGUAAAAGGCAAAUGAGCUCUCUCUCUACAAUUAUAUGGAGAAGCAUAUAUAAACAUCUGUUAUGUGAUGGUAUAUACACAUGCGUGUACACAUGUAUACGUGUGUAUCCGUAGAUUUAUACAUGUAAGAGAAUGUAAAUGAAUUAUUUGAUAUAUUUUUAAAAAAAUAUGACGAACCAUUGAAAACUCUGC